CGCCCCUGGGCCCCCAGGGUCACAAAGGCCAACGUGGCGUUCGACGCUGCGGCUGCCAAAGACCCUGAAGUAGGCGACGUUUUGCGACACUUCGUAAAGCGAGGAGAGUGCGGUGUCAGGCAGAGUCUGCAGCGCGCUGGGCGUUCGCCGAAGCCCGCAGUGAAACAACGCGGAUUGCGCACGGUGGUUGGGCGCGGUCUGCAGAUGCUGAAAAAGCCCGAGAGCAAACAAGACCGAGUUACUCUGGGGAUGCAGGACGUUUUUCUAAUGCUUCCUCGUGGUUUUCCCAAGAAGAAUGUACUUUCGUGUUUUUCGUACUUGAUAGUAACGGUUAAAGUAAAAGAAUUAUUUAUAAAAGCCUUUGCUAAAAACCUUGCCCCAAUUUGUCUUCGCUCUAAAAGCGUGCCUUUCAGAGGGCGUCUGACUCUUAAACCUUGUGACGCGUGUGUGCUGGCGAGGGCUCUGCAAGCCUACGGUAAAGGCCGAUUACAAAACACACCUCAACCUCAUCACUGCCUGAACUGCCCGAAGACAUCUCCGUUUUCACUGACGAGUGCCACUUAAAUAUGAGAUUGAGUGCUUAGAGCCGCUGUGGAGGCGUUCUCUGCCUACCCAACGCACCCCCAGCGAUGGCUACAUCUUACGCAUGGCCAGCCUCCAGAGUAGAAUACACAGUGCAGAGAAAACUAAUUUAUCAAAGGUGUCAUGACAUGUGCCUUAUUUAGCAGGCACUCGAAGAGAACGUGGUGAUGGUGGAUGACUUAUGUUUCUUCCUAACUGCUGUGGAAAGCACUAUUGAAAAGUCUGUGUGCACUGUGAAAAUAUCUUUGGAUUGUGUCCAUUUCUGCUAAGUUCUACAUUUUCAUCGCCCUGCGGCACUGUGAAGACGUGGCACUGAACAGAAGGACCACUUUGGAAGCUCCUGUGAUGUCUGGGUGAAGGAUGAUGAUAGGUUUGAACCAGGGCACUGGCAGUGGAGAUGGACGAGACCUUCAGGAAAAAUUCAGAAGAUCCACAGGUGGGAUCUGCUUGGCGGGAUGUGCGGAAGGGGGUGCAGGUGGGCUUUCAGGUGGAGACAGGAAGGGGCGCACAUCCGGGCACAGGCAGAAAGAGGAUGAGCUCAAGCCGGGCAUGCUGAAGGAGAGAUACGUGAACUGGGUCGUCAUGACCACACCCAAGGGGCGGUCAGAUGAGAAGAGCUCCGGGCUGGGGUGGAGCUCGAAGUGUGAGGGUGGGGCCUAGGUGAACAAAUUGGGGGGGGUGGUAUCCAGAAGGGGCAGAAGCCCAUCUUUUAGAGUCUAUAGAAGGAAGGCCCAGGAAGGAAUCCAAGAGGUCUUUGAGAACACAGGGGCUGGCUGGAGGCACAGGGUCUUAGUCAAAUGACUUAUGUUAUCACAGAACGCUCUUUGAUAAAAAGAGCCUUGAAUCUUAACACUGAAAAAAAAUUAAAGUGCUGCUGAAAUGUGUU